rnacentral:rRNA from 1 species
AUAUUAAUAAGCGGAGGAAAAGAAACUAACAAGGAUUCCCUUAGUAACGGCGAGUGAAGCGGGAACAGCUCAAAUUUAAAAUCUCUGAGUUCUACUCAGCGAAUUGUAGUUUAGAGAAGCAUUUUCAAGUCACUGGGGCUGCCUAAGUCCCUUGGAACAGGGCAUCAGAGAGGGUGAGAAUCCGUCAGGUC